rnacentral:rRNA from 1 species
UUAAUACUGGAUAGAUCAAAGAUACUGGAAUGUUCUCUGGUUCAAAACUCUGGUGCCCAAGGAUGGGUCUGCGGCCUAUCAGGUAGUAGUGGGUGUAACGUACCUACUAGCCAGCGACGGGUAAGGGUUGUGAGAGCAAGAUCCCUGAGAUGGAUUCUGAGACAUGAAUCCAGGCCCUACGGGGUGCAGCAGGCGCGAAAACUUUACACUGCGGGAAACCGCGAUAAGGGGACCCCGAGUGCCAGCACCUAGUGCUGGCUGUCCAGCUGUCUAAAUAACAGCUGUUAGCAAGGGCCGGGCAAGACCGGUGCCAGCCGCCGCGGUAACACCGGCGGCCCGAGUGGUAACCGUUUUUAUUGGGUUUAAAGGGUCCGUAGCCGGCUUAUUAAGUCUCUUGGGAAAUCUGGCGGCUCAAUCGUCAGGCGUUCA